rnacentral:rRNA from 1 species
UACCAGCACCCCGAGUGGUCGGGACGUUUAUUGGGCCUAAAGCAUCCGUAGCCGGUUCUACAAGUCUUCCGUUAAAAUCCACCUGCUUAACAGAUGGGCUGCGGAAGAUACUAUAGAGCUAGGAGGCGGGAGAGGCAAGCGGUACUCGAUGGGUAGGGGUAAAAAUCCGUUGAUCCAUUGAAGACCACCAGUGGCGAAGGCGGCUUGCCAGAACGCGCUCGACGGUGAGGGAUGAAAGCUGGGGG